rnacentral:rRNA from 1 species
AACUUCAUCUAGAUGGUAACGAAGUCAACUAACCCGACCUAUCUCAAUUGAGCUCCAGGGACGGGUCCCAGAUAUAUUUAGGGUAGAGGGUAUAGAGGGGACGCGGAUGUGUGUAAAGUAGGGAGAGAUGAGGUUAUGAGGCCGGUACAGAGACGUGUAGGUGGUCGAGACGUAGACGAUCGUUUUUUUCAUUCGAGGUGUUUUCUUCUCUUUUGCUGGUGAGACGUAAGGAGGCAGCUUCGAGCAGCGGAACCACCGUCCUCCACUGAAUAAUUGACGUAGACGUAGUGGUACCUGAAGCGGCACCUGCGCCGCGACACCCACCAACCGUUUCGCGACCGUGGGCAGUGCCUGCCGGACGACCUCAGUACACGCCGGUCGUGGCUCGAACCGGCGUUGUAGCUGCGGGAGUUCUACGUUGAGGAGAUGCGUGUUCCCUACGAGCUGUUGCGCGUCCCAUCCCUGUAGGCGUCGGGACGCGAGUUCCUCGAAGACGUGUUCGACGCCCUCGACCGCAUGACACGGCUGCUGCGCGAGCUACUCGAGCUGAUGAAGGCGUAGGUCCUGCGUGAACUGCCGUGUAUGGUACGGCGGUUAAACCUAAGGGUCUCGACGCAACUGUCCUAGCGGUAGUUACGAGUGGUGUGGCGGUUCCGACGCCGGUUAUUAGAGUUCACGAGUAGUAGGAGAUGGGCCCGACUAGGGCUGCUAGUCCUUCUACCACCGUUUGCUCCUACGGAGAGACAGCAACCGAGCACACCCCUCGUACUCUAGUCGAGGAGUGCUGGCGGUGGGUGGUGGGUCCCUCAGGUCCUCCAACUACCGCCUACGUACGGAUUACAGCAGAGAACACGAGCGUGGCGACGUGUUUGAUAGCCAUUUGUGAAAGGCACGAUGAGAAAGGGCAGACAGACGCUACUACUACGCCUGUGGCAGUACCACUUUAGGAGGUUAUACUGUCCCUCACCUGUAGUUAUACACGAUGUUCCUCUAGUGCGGUACGUUUGUGCUUUUGACUUCAAACUAGCCCAGCAUUAAAGAUGUUUUUAUGACCUUUAUUAUCUCGUCAACUUUGAAGACACACGAUACCAGAGGUGGUAAGAGUUAGAUCUUGAUGAACCGAGGUGUGCAUAGGGGGGACGGGUUCUGUAAUGAUACUUGGCUGGGUUUUGGUGGGGUUUAUAAUAUCUCGGACUCAACAUACCCUCCUUACUGGUCUUUUUCCUUUAGUAACUACUGUAAUGUUUACCAUUUAUAACAUGGUUACUUGAAUGGCAUCAAGGUGAACAACCAGGUCCUCCAUAACCCUUCUGUUGUGAGUGCGUUGUGUAUAAACGUCUUGACCUCCCAAGAAAGGUUCAAAGUCAAACCUAUACACAUAGAGAUCUAAAAUUACGUCUAUCCAACUGCGUUCUCUAACACUUUUUCUAGGGACUUCACUUACUACUUUUCCGAUUACGAUGGUUAGUUGUCGAUUAACAUGUUUCUAAUUUUAGAUUCGCCGAAAAUGAACAAAAUCUACUACACACCUGUAUGGUGCUCCUACUCACCUUUUUUAAUAAUCGAGGUAAUUCAGUAUGCCCCCCUCUUUUCCCAUUACACCAAUAUCAGUGAUGUGCCUAAGGUUUCCAUCGUUCAUACCAGUGGUGUUGAUUGAGAAGUUAACUGCAGCCUGCAGAUUCAGUACUCCUAUGAUCCAGAAAGAAGCUUCAUACACAUAAACCACUGGUUGCUGGUACCCUUCUGGUAAGACUUAAUGCACUACAACCCUUAUCUUAUCAUUGUUUUAACUUCCCAAAGGGAGAACGUCGUUUUUGUCAUCCAUCUAACGAUUCUUUGGUUGAAUGAAACCUGGUGACCUAUUCUCAACGUCUUUCAUCUCUUACCCUUAAUGUCUGGUUACUGUUACUGUAAUACGGUCGAGAUUUCGAAUCAAUACUAAUAGAGGGAAAAGUAGAUGUUGUUACAAAAAAGAUAACACCCGACAAAGGUCUUCUAAUACUUAAAUCACGGUUUCUCAACCAAGUGAAAACCUGUCCUAAUCCGUAAAAUGCUGGUGAACUAGUCCGUUUUUCUUGACUUCUAUAACGUGAUUCGAUAAAUUUGCUGAACCAUUUAGUACCAAAAAAAAUUUUAUUAUUUUUUCUUUUACCAGGAGUAAUACAAUAGGUACUGGAUGACGUACUGAACCGCCACUGCCAAAGCAGUAUACUUACAGAAUCGUAUAUAUCCCCAACAAACCUAUGUCCCUUAAUCUACACUCUAAGAUCUUUUGCUCAAAACCCUCCUAAAAAUCCUUUUGGUCAAAACCAAUCAAUAAGACAAUUCCAUUCAUAUGUGUUAUGGAACAAACCUACUCUUUUUAUCUUUUUUGAGCUAAAACUCAAGGAGAGUUUUGUUAAGUACCUCCGUGCCACGAAGCCCAACGAGAACCGUGGAUGUGCGUGUCGCCACCUGUUGGUGUGGCCGGUCUCCCACGCACCGGUAGCGGCCCCGGCGGCCCACCAGCGCGACGAGCGGAAUAGCACGAGACGAAGCAAGCGGCCACAGUGGGUACAACGGAGUCCAAGGGUAGCUUCUCCGUGCAUGUACGUCGAGUGUAUGCCGAUGUGCCGGAUUUCGUGGUACUAACUAAGAGUCCGGCCCGUGCGUACAUCGUCAUCGUGGAUCGAUCGACGACCUAACUAAGCGGCCAUUGUGGUCUCGUGUUGUGUGUACGAUCCCUCCGCGCUGCUGAUGCAUGUUCGACCUCGUAUACCUGCUGCUGCCACCAACACUUCGCCGGCUACUUGUGCUGCCGGCGGCCGGCUUCAGGCGCAGGCGGUACCUCCGAGUCCCGAUCUACCUCGUAGCGUUGGACGAGGCCGACGGACCGGCUCUAGCCGUCGCUACAGAAAACCGAAACAGUUCGACGGCAGUGCCGGCCGCCUCAAAUGGUACUGGUCGUGCAGCCUGAACCAGCUAGAGCACUACGUACAUCUUUUGCGCAAACAUAUUUUUGCAGUUAAUCACCAAAAACAUAUUUGACCCAAAAACUCGAAAACCUUUUGAGUCAAAUCAUAUAGGUGCUCAAUCAAUCUGCUAGGUUUGUUACAAAAUCCAACAAUGUGGUCUUUAGUCCAAAUUCCUUUUGAUCAAGAGAUAUUAGAUCCAUAGGUUUGUUGGGGAAUUGAACGCUUGGUAUGUGUAAGGACGUAGGCACGCAGUGAACAGGUAGUAGCAUCUAUUAUGACUACAGCUUCUAUAUUGGUGAAAAUUUCUUAUGUUGUCAAUAAACUCACGUCAUCAAUUUUCUAACUUUCGAGUCUUGAAUGCGUGAAACUACAACAAACCACUUAUGGUACCUUCGAAACGGUUUUGAAAAUCCCAAAACAAAUUUUUUCGAUCUCGGAAUGUGUGAUAAAAAAAAGACCUAAUAGUAUAAGACACCUACUACACAACGGCCUGAAAAGUCUUGAAGAUGUAGAGGCGAUGGAUUCCUAGUUUAGUCACGUAUUACUCCUGUAUUCGAACGGAUCACACAACAAAUCCAGGAUAGUGAACCUCCAGUAACCAAAUCUUUUAACCCCACCGGCGAAACGAAGUUGUUCAGUUUACUCGUUGGACCAUCAAAAAGCAGUGCCAAGGCACUUAACACCAUCAAAAACCAAUUUAUGAGAAGUCUACCUCUACUGCUGUGGUAGUAUAAAUUCAUUACUGUAACUUUAACUCGUACGUUUUCGUCCCGUGGUAGUCUGUUCUGCCCUCCUCCAUCUUCUACGUCGUCGUCCUCCUCCAGAUGACGAGGACGGAGCCGUUGAUGUCCUCAACCAGUAGAGACCAACGUCUCUCGACGCCAAUGAGAGGCUAAGUGAACAGUUCCUGUCGUGUGUGCCUCCUCCCGAGGUCUCAGAAACGAGGGAGGUUAGCAACGCGUAUAUACUAACGGGGUCCAAGGAGAGCAGGAUAAGUAGGAGGCGGCGUAGAACAAAGGGGAAGGGCUGGAGGGACGUUGUUGAGUACGACCUCCCGCACCUCUCGUACCUCUGCGACCGAGGGGAGAGUUUAGAGUAGAGAGAGUGGCGAAAUAAGCACGCAUUAACACCCCUAGAUUCUCCGCUCCCGAAUACCGGAGAGCAGCGGGUCCCGGCUGAGUGUCCUAAUGAGCAGUGACUUUGGGGGGUUAAGAAGUGACCAAGACUCGGGAGUGCCGGUGUACUGGUUCUCUAAGGAAAGAGAAGUAGGUUUGAGGUUGUAGAGACCUGUCUACUGAACCGUCCUCAGGAAUGGCGCGGGUAUACGUGUGAGGAGAGAAGGAGGGAGUGGUUUAAUUAAAACAUACGGUUGUUUCUCCACCUCGCGAAGUGUCUCUUCGUUCUCCUCCGGGAAGUGGAGGAGUUAAGGGAGGUCCUUGAGUUGAAAACCUUCACAACCUUCGACGUCGCGGAGGGACGUCCCGAUUGGUUCGAACGGUCGGAGUUCUAUAAUGUGUAAACCCCCACAGGUCGGUAGGUUAACGACAGGUUCCUGCCUGAUGGUUCGAGAGACGUUCUUAAUCUCUAGUCUCUGACAGGACGGUAGUUUAGAGACGGGUUCCUGCCGGACGGUUCAAGUGACGCCUUUAAUGUUCAAAGAUUACCGUAGUCGUUCCUCGAAUUUUUCGUCACGGCGUUCAAUUUUCCUUGGUAAGGUUAUUAGUAUCUGAUGUUGUUGCUGCUGAUGAUUGGGUUCCCUAGAAGAAACUAAACAUGUAAGAAGAUCGGAUCGGAACAUCUAGGUCAAGAAAGACGUAGGUUUGUGUCAAGUUUCUCAUAUGAAGAGACAUGUUGAUUAGGUUCUCCAGAAGAACCUGAACAUAUAAGAAGAUCGGAUCGGAACAAACAACAAGGUCAAGAGAGAGAUAGGUUCUUGUCUUCCAAGGUCUAAUAUCGUGGGUAGGUAAUGAUUUGACCGGAGACGGUACCUCAACAUUUUCAAGAAGAUAGGAAUUUCAAAAACGUAUGUGCAUGUCAAGCCUGCGGUACCGGGACCCACCAUAGUGGAUGUAUUUAUACCCUAGACAGAACCUCAACAAGUAAGAAUACCUGAACCUCUUAAGAGAACAAGAACAGUGUUUUUGUCUUUUUUUUUUGUCCUUUCCCUUUUCUCCGUUUUUUUUAUUUUUUUUACUCUUCUUUUUUUUUCUUUUUUUCUUUUUCCUUUUCUUCCCUUUUUCUUUCUUUAUUUUUUAUUUAUUUUUUUCUCUCUCAUUUCGAGAGGUAGACCAGUGAUAAGCGUGUACAAGCACUGAAGAACUAUCCACAAACAGGUCAACAAAAUACAAGAAAGUCAUUUUUCAAUCUUUAUAAUUAACACAUCCAACUAACGGACUAUAAACACAAUGUAUAAACCUUUAGUUAUACCGUCUUCAUCGAGGGUCGUUUUCCUAUUUCCUUUGUUUUUUAACAUUCCCUUUCUUAUGUUUAGGUAAUAUACCCAAAACACACCAUAGAAAUACUUUCUACCAACAUACUAAGAAAAUACGAAAAAUCCUUAACCCUCUUUAUAAUUGACUGAUCUUAAUCAACGGAUUAUCAACAUAGUGAUUAAAUCUCUCCCUCCUCAUGUCCUCGUCCAGACUUAUCACUUCCAUAUCGAGGGGAAACACGACCUAAUUUUUUUAUAUCUCACCCGCUUUAUGUCCUCGUACAGGCUUCUGACUUCCAUAUCGAGGCCAAACACUACGUAAUAACUUCAUACGUGGGACGUGAUACCAUAUCACUCCAAUUAUGUCUAGUUAGAGGAUCCUUCUCUUCAUCCCCGGGUUCGAAACAAACCAAGUUCGUCAAAAAACGGCGACGUGGUCGGUGUGUUUUUACGUGAGGCAUCUACGUCCCAGUAACAAGGUUCGUAAAGACAAGAUUACGGUCUUAAUAAGAACUAGACAUUCGACGUCACUUGGUUUGAGAAGAAGUGGAAUCUGAUCAACUGAGUAGUUGGUCAUUGACGACACUACCUAUAGGUUAGACAGGUUAGGGCAAGUGCAAGUGUGCUACAUUGUACCUCCCAUGACCGUUUUACUAGUCGUAAAAGAAGUCUUUCCUUUUACUACCGGUAGACUGUGUGUUUUUCCCGUUUUCCUUUUUUUUCCUUUUCUUUUCCUUUUUUUUCCUUCUUAUUUAAUACCUUCUUUUGAGAGGUAGCUGGGUGACAAACGUGUGACCUAUCUCUUCACGUCUUCAGCUUCUCCUAACCGCUGCCGGGGGAAGGAGGAGGUGGUUUGGGGUCUGGCUAAGUGGUACAGUACUACCACAGCCCUCCGCUGCCACUACUCACUACCACCGCCGCCUCCCGUACACUAACUAUCGUUACUACGACCAAUGAAGAGUACCUCCUGCGCCGUCCCCGACACCUCCUCGUAUUACUGUAGGGAUCAAACUAACCUCGUAAGAGAGACAAACCAUACGGUAUGGACUUCUUCAACGACGACUACGUUGAACAUAGAGGAUAGGAAAGAUCUGACUCCGGAGACGGUUGAACAUUUGAGAAGUUAUGAACUUCUUGAGGGCCGUAAGUGGGUGACAAACCUGCGGUACCGGAACCCGCCAUAGAGGAGGGACAUGUAUUUAUGCCCUAGACAUAACCUCAACAUGUGAUAGUAUCGGGCCCUCUUGAUAGAGGUAAGAAGAAUGUUUUUUUUCCCCCUUUACACUUUUCUUUCUUUCUUUCUUUCUUUCUUUCUUUCCUUUCCCCUUUUUCUCUUUUUUUACACUUUUUCUCUUUCUUUCUUGUUAUUUUUCCUUUUCCUUUUUUCUUGUUUUUUACACUUUUUUCUCUUUCUUGUCCCUCCCUUGCCUUCAUUUUUUCUUCUCCUUUUGGAAGUAAGUAAGUGGUAAGCUUACACACCACAUAGUUUCCACCAACACGUCAACAAAAUCCAAUAAAGUCCUCUUUUCAUCUUUAUAAUUAUCGCAUCCUAACAAGUGGGUCAUCCACACUAUGUUUAAACCUUUAGUUCUACCGUGAUUAUCGAGGGUAGUUUUAUUUCCUCCGUUUUUCUUUUUUACUCAUUUCUUUUUAGAAGUAGGUAAGACACCCAAAACACACCAUAGAUAUGUUUUCCACCAACGUAUUAACAGAAUACAAGAAAGUUCUUUUAGAUCUCUCACAACUACAUGAUCCUAACCAACGUACUCUAUCAGUACAGUGUUUAAAUCUCUCCCCUCCCUUAUGUCCUCGUUCAGAGUUCCAGAUCGAGGGUAAACACAACCUAGUCACUUCACACGCCGAACGCCGUACAAUUUAACCUCAACCUCAAUUCUUUCUAGUUAGAGGAACCUAACAGACCAUCUACCCCAAAGUAAACAAGAUCCUAAUGAAAACUUGACGUUCACUCGUUUUGGAUAUAAGUCGAAUCUGAUCAAUUCAGUAAGUGGUCCUUAACGACGCUACUUAUACGUUAGUCCGGGUAGGGAAUUUGUGAGUAUACUACAUUGUACCUUCCAUGUUCCCUUUACCACCGGUAAAAGAAGCGUUUUCGUUUUACGACGAGUAGACCAAACGGACUGCAGAAGUCACAAACGUCAAUGAGGCCUUUAGGAUAAUACGACGUGAGAGCGUCGUCUGUAUUUCUACCCCUGUUUUUUUUCUAUUUUCCUUUGUUUUUCCUUGUCUUCAAUAUAAACUUUAUGAGAAGUAGGCCAGUGUAAAUAAAUUCACCCUCCUCACGUCCUGCUUCUCCUAUCAGUGACAGGAGGGAGGUGGUUUAGGGGUUCUCCAAGUAGUACAGUAUCGCCGUAUAACCCUCCAGCCCUCCACCGUCACCACACGCUAUACCCGCCGCCGCUUCACGUACUCUCCCCAUCACUGCUACGAUCGGCAAGCACCACCUACUUACCUGUCCCAACCACCACUUUCUUGUAUUACCGUAGAGCUAUACUAGUUGCAGGAUAAUACGAGUGACACACCGGACAGUAGGAAACUUCUUGGACGUAGGUCACUGUGCCCGAAAGUCUAUGGGAACGGGUAGACCACACGAGCUAGCUUUGUGCAAGUUGUCACGCGAGGAGUUCGGCGACGACCUAGCUUACCCGAAACCAGUCAAGUAGUCCCACCACCGUUAAGCACUACGAAGACCAAGAACGUACCUACCGCCACAAUGCAGACGUUCGAAGAACGCCAAAGUUCAACUUGGACCGGUGGUUCGGGAGGGUUGGGAACUAUUUGAGGUCCACGAUUCGAGUGUCAAAGAUCUAAAAUCUGAACAAAAGCAACGUGCCACCUCCAC